UUUAAUUUGCUCAUUUAUUCUAAAAUCCUGCUUCCCCCUCCCGAACCCUCCACCGUCGCGCCCCCCCUCUCCUCCGCUUUCCUGCCGCCACUCUGUCGGGUACGUGGGCUGCUAGAUUGAGAGAGAAGAGCUUGUCAUAGUUUUAAGGACUCUGCUUCUUGAGUACUCAGUUUUAAGUCUCACGGUGACUCCAGUAUAAAUUCUCUUGUUGUAUGAGUAUGGAUGAUACAAUGCCACCAAACUUUUCUGUUCCGAAUAAUGCACUUGAGCCGCUGUUUAUUGCUUCCCAUUCCUCGACUAUAAAUGAAGCGCUAGAGUGUCUGAUUGGAACUGCCAAAUCUUCUGAUGGACGGUUAGACCUAGCUUCCAAAUGUGUCCUUCUACCAGUCCUUGAACUUUGCCGAUCUGCAUCCCAACUUUCUGGUCAAGAUCUUCUUUUGUCCAUAAAGCUACUCAGGAAUUUGUGUGCAGGAGAAAUAACAAACCAGAACCUAUUUAUUGAACAACAUGGUGUUGAGAUUCUAUCAACUAUCAUUAGUUCUAUGGCGCUAACUUCUGGUUCUGAUAAUGGGAUACUUCGUAUGUUGUUGCAAGUUCUAGGAAAUGUUUCAUUAGCCGGUGAACAGCAUCGCCAUGUUGUAUGGCGCCACUUCUUCCCCCUUGGAUUUCUGGAUAUUGCUAGAGUUCAAAGCAGUGAAACAUGUGAUCCUUUGUGCAUGAUUAUCUAUACAUGUUCCGAAGGUAGUAGUGAGCAUUCUGCAGAUCUAUUUUCAGAUCAAGGGAUGGAUAUCAUAAUAGAAAUUAUACGGACAGUUACAGUAGCUGGUUUUAGGGAAGAUUGGGUGAAAUUGCUUCUCUCAAGAAUUUGCCUAGAAGAAUCUUACUUUUGGACAUUUUUCUCUAAAUUAUCUCCAGUGGCUGAAGCUGAGAAUUCUGAUGAUAAUGUAUCUCAAAUUAAUCAUAUUGGAGCUCAGCAAGCAUUUUUGCUGAGGAUUCUUUCCGAAAUAUUAAAUGAGCGGAUAGGAGAUAUUGUUGUUCCCAACAAGUUCUCGUCAUGCAUUUUUCAAAUAUUGAGAAAUGCCGUUGGGGUUGUUGACUUUAGCACCCGAGGGAAGUCUUCGCUUCCAACUGGUUCAGCUGAUAUUGAUGUUAUUGGCUACGCGUUGUCUAUUUUACGAGAUAUUAGUGCUUCUGGUGGUCCAAAAGUUGCAAACCAGGAUGAGAAAGGGGAUGCUGUUGACACACUAGUAUCAGCAGGGCUUAUUAAAUUUCUUAUAACAUUGCUUCGCGACCUAGAGCCUCCAGCAAUCAUUAGGAAAGCAAUGAUCCACAGUGAGGCCAAAGAUGGGACAACUUCGCAGCCAUUCAAAUACUGCCCUUACAGAGGUUUCCGAAGAGAUGUUGUUGCCAUUAUUGGAAACUGUAGCUACCGCAAGAAGCACAUUCAGGACGAAAUAAGAGAACUGGACGGGAUUCAUCUCUUGUUACAACAGUGUGUUACAGAUGAAGAUAAUCCAUUCUUGAGGGAGUGGGGCAUUUGGUCAAUGAGAAAUGUUUUGGAAGGGAAUACGGAAAACCAACUAUUAGUUGCUAACUUGGAGCUCCAAGGGUCUGUCGAUGUUCCUGAAAUAGCUGGGCUAGGCCUCCGAGUAGAAGUUGAUCCAAAGACUCGGCGUCCAAAGCUUGUUAAUGCCUCAUGAAGUUGUUGAAAUCUAAUCUGCUGUUUUCCAUAGAUGACAUCCAAGACUCCGGAGACAAUGGAAUGAAUGAGGGUGGAAAUCCACAAGCAGAGCCGUGGGCUGCAUUGGAAGAGUUGAACUUUCUUAUGCCGUUCUAACAUGUUGACCACGCUCUGCAGAUUCAGGUCUUGUAAGGUAUUUACCAGAUCAAGAAAUGUAAGCCAAUGUACUUCUAUCAAUUAAUAAUAUAGCAUUUCUUUAUUUCCAUGUUUCUUAGAGGCACCAAAACAUUCAAUGGUGAAACAGAAAGAGUUAGAACUUGCAAUGUCAAAGAUCAGAGAGCCUAGGACAAGCAAACCACGCCCAUUACAGGCUGAGGCAGGAAAUUCUUAUAUUACGUCGAGUGUGAAAAUGUCAAACUGCAUUAGCGUAUUGUGUCUGCACAAUGUAGGUGGUCACUGUGCUGAUGUUUUAGUGCUUGGUGUUCAGCUGAGGCACCAAGAGAACAAAACUGAAGCUAGAGGAUCAGACGAAGAGGAUGAAGGGUGAUAAUGAGGAGAACGGUGGCCUCAGUAGCUGUCAUGUAGAAUCACAUUUGAAGAGACUUAAGUCCUACAAACAGCCAUCUAAUUUGACACUGCUGCCAAGAAUGGUUAGCCCCUUGGUAAUGUCCUAGAAAUAAAGAUGAGGAAACUCUUGGCCGGGGAGGAUCCUCUGGCUUAGGAAGGGAAAAGUCCUCUUUUUACUUACAACUCCUUGUGUUUGGGAUUGAUGUAUUUGAAGUUGGGGAUUUCAAAUCUCUAAUGACAUUUUCUUUUAAUUUUUGUUGAAUAAUUUCAUAUUACAAUGGAUUUUAAAUUAUAUUUAU